UAGAAAAACAAAGCCGGGAGCGUCGCCACGGCAAUUGGAAAACUUCAGGAGCUCUUAAGCGGUCUAGGUGUUAGAAAGUGUUUGGCGUCGUGAAGGAAAUACCUGCCAACGUAGAGAAGGGUCGACGGAAUCUUGGAAGUGAUGAGGCGAUGCCUUCCUUUACUCUUGGGAAACUGCAGCCGGCGGAUGAAGCUUGUCCUGGCAAGGGCACCUGGAGCCACUCCUAAUAAACUCCUGGAAUAUCUCCUCAAAGUUUGGGAAAAAAGGAUGCCUACAGUAAAUGAGGUGGAGAUGAUGGAAAUUCCUUGGCAGAGGAAGGGGUCAAAGGCACAGAGAGGCGGGCCUAUUAGAACUGACUUAUUUGUGCAACACCAGAGAAUCACCAGAUGACUAUGUUUCUCAGGAAGAGCCUCCCCAAAGCCUGGGAUCCAUGAGCACUAUGUUAAGAACUCCUGGAUGAAAAUCUUCCUUACAGAAAGUUCACGGUGGAAAAUAAAUGGCAGGGAAGGUAAGAAGGGCAAUUCUGAGUGUGGUUUGCCCAUUUCAGGCAAUGAGCGCAUAGCAACAUCAUGGAAGCUUUCUUGCCCUAGGAGGAUAUACGUGAAACUGUAAAGUACCACGUUAAGGGGAGAUUUUUCCCAAUGGCCAUGUGUUGGAGCAGUCACUGAAAUGUUGAAAGCAGCUACUUAACUUGAGAAAGCCAAGUAUUUGAAACUAGCUCGGCCAGAUCCCAGCUGUCAUCUCCACUCCACCCCGUGCAAUCACCAUUAGUGAUUUUUCAACCUUCAACCAACAUUUUGUAGAUAAUGUGUUGGGAAGUGUGGGAGAUGAAAAAUAUUAUUGAAACAUGGACUCUAACACAGGGAUGUUCAUCUCCAAGUGGAGAAUGUGAAUGGUGCUUGCAACAGCCUGGCCCUGGAUUCUUUGACCUUCAACUUUAUUGUCUUCAGGACAUUUUUAGAAGCACACAACCACGGCUACUCCUUUGGUAUUGAUACUUAAUACUCCUCUGUCAUCAAGAUUUCAAACUCUGAAAUUCUGUUAGGCCACAAACUCUUAUUUUUCUGUCUUUCUCAUACCUACUAAUUUUUUCUUUACCCUCAUCAUGAACUCCAGACCCCUUGAAUGCUCAUACCCGAGUAUUCAGGUAUGAGUAUUCAGCUCUGUCUUGGUUUCACUUGCCUCUUCCUAGCUAGGAUACCAUGGACAUCUGAAGUGACCAAGGACCACCAGGUGGCAGCAGAGUCUCAACUAAACUGUCCACCAACUUGGGCACCAAGUCAGGUAUGGUCAUUGUUAUUUAUAAUGGGAGCCUCAAGUUUGAAGGGGAAGUGGAAUUAAACAAAGGAUAGAGCAUACAGGGAGAUCAGGCAGCAGGGGGACAAGAAGAUCUUGAUCCUCAUGUAAGGAUAAACCAGAGAAGUGGCUAGACCCAAGCAAUGGGGGAGAUGGCAGGGUUCUCCCAGGUUCAUUGUCUGUAACCAUUUCAUACCUAUACAUCUGGGUAGUCUCCUCCUGCUUUGAAACAUCCCUUGCCCAACUGCUCUGAAGCUCUUUCUAGUUAAGGGUUAGUUACUUAAUGUCAACAAGCCUCCUGGAAUCCUUUGCUCUUAACUGCCUUGCCAAUCCCCAGUGCUAGAUGGAGUCGACCCUCUUGUCUCUCUCCUUCCAGGCGGCCAGGUGCUCCUGCAGAAAGUUACAAAAGUCUACACAUUGGAUCAACUCUGAAUCCAUAAUAUGUAACCUCAGUGGUAACCUCAAGGCUGCUGAAGUUUCCUCUUUUCAUCCUUAGUUAAUUCCUUGGGGCAUUGCUCAUAGAAGCAAUUCUAAGCCUUCUCCACUCGCUGAAGUCCCUUUCUGCAUUUCAGCUCCUCGACCACAGCAGAUGACCUCACAUCCUCCUUUGUCUGGAGGACUGGGACCAUCCAUCCAGUCCUCCUCUGCAGGCCCUCUCCACUGUAGACAGAGCACAGGACCUACAGAGUCCUCCAUGGUACGUUUCUUGAGCUGAAUGGGAAAGACAUCAGAAAUUUCAUCCUUUUCAAGGCAAAGUAAGAAAACAGCUAGCCUACAUCUCAUCUCAGAAUCAACUUACUACUCUGAAUGAUAUAUUACUCUCUUAGUCAGCUCGGGCUGACAAAAUAACACAGCCUGGGUGGCUUAAUCAAUAGACAUUUAUCCUCACAGUUCUGGAGGCCGGGAAGUCCAAGGUCAAGGUGCCAGACAAUUCAGUUCCUGGUGAACAUCUUCCUGGUUUGUAGACAGCCACCUUCUCCUUACGUUCUUACGUGGUUUUUCCUUGGGUGCAUACAGAGCGAGAAAGAGAUCUCUCUCUCUCUCUCUUCUCUUCUUAUAAGGCCACCAAUCCCAUCAUGAGUGCUUCACCUUCAUGAUCUAAUCUAACUCCUGUGGCCUCAUCUACAAAUACCAUCACACUGGGGAUUAGGGUCUCAGCAUAUGAAUUUGGGGUACACAAAUAUUUAGUCCAGAACAGUUACAAAUGUUGAUGGCUGGAGUGUUUCCUAACUUAGGUCUGGGGUGACAGCUCUUAAAAAUCUCAUCUGCAAAGAUAGUGCUUUCAAACUUUUCAUUGAAAAAUUCACAAACUAACAUAAAAUCUAUUCUGUCCAAUUUUAAUUGACCUUGUUCUUCCUGUGCAAUGAUUUCUGAUUCAUUUAUUCAGUCAUUCAAUUAGUAAAUACUUAACUGACUUGAGCCAAGACUCCUAACUACUACGUACUGCCAAAUACAGACAUGUGAUGAUGAAGCACAUUUGUGGCAGAUAAAGAAUAUUUAACAAGAAGAAUCAUUCAUCCAGAAUUUGUCAGACUCCCCAUUCAGCACUAUGGAAAGAGAAUCCACUCACUGGCCCGCAGGCGUAGGCCAGUGUGCUGAGCUGGGUGCUCAGUCAAGAGGUAAGUGCCUCAGGAUAAAGUUUUUAUUAUAAUCUCUCCCGAUAUUCAAGUAGUUUUCAAAGGCUUUCUAUUUAAUGAAAAGAUAAUGUGUGACUAGCAUAUAUAUGUAUGUUCUAGACUGCAUGAUGGGUACCUCUCUCAGAACAGUCACUUAGAAUCCUGCCCCAUUUAUCUGUUUGUUAUGAACUAGAUUAUUAUGGAUUAUCCCAACUCAGAUCACUCCUGAGUAAACUAACAAAGAUGAACUUUUAAAUUUGCAACACUGUAGACUAGACCUUGGCUUCACAAUGACCUCACCAAUGCGCUGGCUGGCAUCCUCGAAGGUUCAGCUUCAUCCUUCUUGUCUCUUAAAGCUAUC